CCGUCAAAAUUCCCCAGAUCUGGGGAAAAAUUCCCUAGUAUGGCAACACUGGUCAUAAACUCCAUGUCUAACCUCUUUCUAACCUAACCACAUUUUUUUUUUCAAUCAAAAUAAACAUUGCAGGAAACAUCACAGAAGAGGAGAACAUUUGUCAGCGUUCAGCACAUAGACAAGAGAUAUACUCAAAGAUAUACUAACUGGUCCAGCAUUUGUUGUGGAAAAUUUGAGAUUAUCUGUGGUGCAAAAGCUGUAUUUGAGUGAGCACAAUGGGUGACAGAUACAACAUUCACAGUCAGUUGGAGCAUUUGCAGUCGAAAUAUAUUGGAACAGGUCAUGCUGAUACUACAAAAUUUGAAUGGCUGGUUAAUCAACAUCGGGAUAGUUACUCCAGCUAUCUAGGUCAUCCAGACUUGCUUAGUUAUUUCGCAGUAGCUGAAAAUGAAGCAAAGGCUCGAGUGAUGUUUAAUUUGAUGGAAAAAAUGUUACAGCCUUGUGGUCCACCCCCAGACAAACCAGAUGAUAGUUAAAUUUUCAUAACUUCAUAAAUAUGUACAGGAUCUAGGUGCAGUAUUAUUACUCUGAUCAUAUUUUUAAUCAAAACCUAAUUUUUAUGUGUAUUUAUGAAUAGGACUUAUAACAGGGUGCUUAUCAAAAAGGUACCGCAACUAUGUUUAAUUUAAUAAUAAUAAUAACUGAUAUUGGAGAAGACAUUACGCUUAUAAAAUGUUUUGAUCAUUUAUGUAUUGAAUUAAAGCUAUUUUUAUUCUGUGCAUGAUCUUAUAAGGGUGCUUAUCAAAAAGUUGCCACAAAUAGGGGUUGCCACGGUUCAAAGUUUUUCCUACAGGCCCUGCAACAGUGCAUCAGGCAUCCU